GACGGAGGAUGCAAGCGUUAUCCGGAAUGAUUGGGCGUAAAGCGUCCGCAGGUGGCAGUUCAAGUCUGCUGUCAAAGACCGGGGCUUAACUUCGGAAAGGCAGUGGAAACUGAACAGCUAGAGUAUGGUAGGGGCAGAGGGAAUUCCCGGUGUAGCGGUGAAAUGCGUAGAGAUCGGGAAGAACAUCGGUGGCGAAGGCGGCAUCCUGGACCGGCAUUGACGCUGAGGCGCGAAAGCCAGGGGAGCAAACGGG
rnacentral:rRNA from 1 species